rnacentral:lncRNA from 1 species
UAUAUAUAUAUAUAUAUGGUCCUGUUCACAUAUCUGUGGGACAGCCACUCCCUGGAGACAAGUCAUCCACCCUUUGAUAACUGCAUUACAAUAUUAUACAAAAUAUAAAAGUAUUUUACCAUUUAGAAACAACGGCUUCCAUGUCUUCCCAGUUCCAUGGUUGCUUUGGAAACACUUCUUGGAUUUGAUACAACAAUAAACUUUGACGACUUCCUUAAUG